UCGAAAGGGUUUGAUUCGGUGAAUCCGGAUAUUGAGUUCAGCCGUAGUAGACGUACGGGGAGGCGUAUCCCACGGCCGGAUAGCCGGCGGAGUAGACAAACUGUGGCACCGGGGCGGGAUUUGGACUGGGUCCCGGAGCGGGAACGGCCAUGGCAACGGCCAGGAGAGCGGCGAGGAGGAGGAGUACCUGUGGGAGCGGAAACAAAGGGCAUUCGUUCAGCGAUUACGGGAUCAAAGGCUGGUGUCCUCCGGCAAAGCAAACACUCACCAGCUUCAGCAUGAUGACGAAAGGGUUAAUUCUCGACUUGACAAACAAAAUCGAACUGCACUCGAUGUUUGCCAGAUUGCAGCCUUUUAUACCACCGAAACCUCAAACAUUGGCGUUUUGAGGCGGAUCUGAGCCGCUUUGCCCCGCAUCGCUGACUGCAUCGCACUUUCGUAUUCCACAUGCAUUCCCGCCGGCCAAGUUUAUGGCUCAUUACGGCUCUCAACGAGCUCGCCUAAUGCCUGCCAAAUGUACUGAGCACAAAACAGCGUUAUUGUUUCUUAAUCUGUUUGCCUGACGACAUCGACACCAUCAUCACCAUCACCAUCAUCGAUAAGUAUGCCCCUCUUCCGGCGCGGCAUCCACUUUCCAUACUAACCCCUUCCCCAAAAACCCCAAAUGUGUGUCGGUUCUUUUUGUCAACUCACUGUCCUUUCGCUGACUGUUUCUAUAUCGGCUUUUGGUUUCGUUUUGGCCGGCGGCAAACAUUUGGCUUUAUUGUCAAUUCGAUCGAUUUGGGAGUUUAAGAAUACAUGAUUUGGCAAUUCUAAUGCAUU
ensembl:ncRNA asRNA:CR45712 antisense RNA:CR45712